GAGGAAUAUUGGUCAAUGGGCGCGAGCCUGAACCAGCCAAGUCGCGUGAGGGAUGAAGGUUCUAUGGAUCGUAAACCUCUUUUAUAAGGGAAUAAAGUGCGGGACGUGUCCUGUUUUGUAUGUACCUUAUGAAUAAGGAUCGGCUAACUCCGUGCCAGCAGCCGCGGUAAUACGGAGGAUCCGAGCGUUAUCCGGAUUUAUUGGGUUUAAAGGGUGCGUAGGCGGCCUUUUAAGUCAGCGGUGAAAGUCUGUGGCUCAACCAUAGAAUUGCCGUUGAAACUGGGGGGCUUGAGUAUGUUUGAGGCAGGCGGAAUGCGUGGUGUAGCGGUGAAAUGCUUAGAUAUCACGCAGAACCCCGAUUGCGAAGGCAGCCUGCCAAGCCAUGACUGACGCUGAUGCACGAAAGCGUGGGGAUCAAACAGGAUUAGAUACCCUGGUAGUCCACGCAGUAAACGAUGAUCACUAGCUGUUUGCGAUACAGUGUAAGCGGCACAGCGAAAGCGUUAAGUGAUCCACCUGGGGAGUACGCCGGCAACGGUGAAACUCAAAGGAAUUGACGGGGGCCCGCACAAGCGGAGGAACAUGUGGUUUAAUUCGAUGAUACGCGAGGAACCUUACCCGGGUUUGAACGCAUUCGGACCGAGGUGGAAACACCUUUUCUAGCAAUAGCCGUUUGCAAGGUGCUGCAUGGUUGUCGUCAGCUCGUGCCGUGAGGUGUCGGCUUAAGUGCCAUAACGAGCGCAACCCUUGCCACUAGUUACUAACAGGUAAAGCUGAGGACUCUGGUGGGACUGCCAGCGUAAGCUGCGAGGAAGGCGGGGAUGACGUCAAAUCAGCACGGCCCUUACAUCCGGGGCGACACACGUGUUACAAUGGCGUGGACAAAGGGAAGCCACCUGGCGACAGGGAGCGAAUCCCCAAACCACGUCUCAGUUCGGAUCGGAGUCUGCAACCCGACUCCGUGAAGCUGGAUUCGCUAGUAAUCGCGCAUCAGCCAUGGCGCGGUGAAUACGUUCCCG
rnacentral:rRNA from 1 species